rnacentral:ncRNA from 14 species
ACUUAUACAGGGUAGCAUAAUGGGCUACUGACCCCGCCAUGAAACCUAUUUCAUGACUAUAGGU